rnacentral:rRNA from 1 species
CCUACGGGAGGCAGCAGUGAGGAAUAUUGGUCCAUGGACGAGAGUCUGAACCAGCCAAGUAGCGUGAAUGAUUACUGCCCUAUGGGUUGUAAACUUCUUUUAUAUGGGAAUAAAAUGUUCCACGUGUGGGAUUUUGUAUGUACCAUAUGAAUAAGGAUCGGCUAACUCCGUGCCAGCAGCCGCGGUAAUACGGAGGAUCCGAGCGUUAUCCGGAUUUAUUGGGUGUAAAGGGAGCGUAGGUGGAUUGUUAAGUCAGUUGUGAAAGUUUGGGGCUCAACCGUAAAAUUGCAGUUGAAACUGGCAGUCUAGAGUACAGUAGAGGUGGGCGGAAUUCGUGGUGUAGCGGUGAAAUGCUUAGAGAUCACGAAGAACUCCGAUUGCGAAGGCAGCUCACGGGACUGCAACUGACACUGAGGCUCGAAAGUGUGGGUAUCAAACAGGAUUAGAUACCCUUGUAGUC